GCCUCCUUAGCUCAGUGGUAGAGCAUUGCGCUUGUAUACCUUGACGCUGAUGCUUACGCGCUUACGACUGAAUGUCAUUUAUACAAUGCAAAGGCCAGCCGUUCAAUCCGGCUAGAAGGCA